GUCCCCGAGAGUGGACGCAGAGCUGAGGCGCGGAGGCCCAGGCUUAAGGCCAACACGCCGAUUUGGGCCUGGACACCGCCGUUUGUGGGAGAGGGAAAGAGACGGGCGUCGAGAGGCGGUGAUUUCGGGGUCGCCUUUCCCGCAAGCACAGGCAGUCCCACUGCUGCAGGCGAGGCACACUCACUGCCCGCCGUGCAAAACCCAGGGCCCGUUCUGAGGUAGCUGUCAGCGUAGGAAAUGGAGCUAUUUGGUUGUUCUUUUGAAUAGCCCCGGGACAACUUCCUUUAUUUCAUAAGAUGAGAGGCUGAAGGCCUUGCAGGAUUACUUUACUCUUAUCACUGCUCUCUCCUCUCCGACUCACAGCCUUGGCCGGGGCCUCUCCCAGCCUUGCUCAAGCUCAGGGAAGCCCAUCGCUCCUCUUCAGGCUGAGAUGCAGACAGGCAGGGCCCAGCUUGAUCCUGGAGCUCGCCGCAGCGCGGCUGCUUCUGGUGUGAUUAGAAAGAAGCAGCCGGGGUCUUGAGGAGCGCGUCUGACAAAAGUACUGAGAAUUGAACCCAAGGCCUCUGGCAUGUUAGCUGCCAGGCCACAGCACCUUCAGAAUGAGCCUGGUCUUCAAGAAUGGGAACACAGCAGAGUCUGCUUCGGGGCAGCAUUAGGACUUCUUGCUAACGAGUAGCUAGGGCACAACCAGCAGAGUCGGAGCAGUGAAACAGGU